rnacentral:lncRNA from 1 species
CGAUGUAGACGUGAAUUAUUAUUCCUGCUAGGUGUCCCCCCGGGCUUGGUACCGUUCGUAGUACUUUUCUUGAUAUUGUACUUUUAUUUUCUCCUAGCAGAAGAGUGAUUGUGAGUUAUACACUUGAGCGUACAUUGUAAAAGAGUUAUUUACUCUUCUUUAUUGUUGGUUCUUGUUUCUCAAGGGAUUAGGUGCGCCUAGAAAGUUAGUCGUUGUCUAGCUUUCAGUUAUUCACCGUUGAUGAGGUUUUGGGAAGAUGUAGAGGCUAAGUAAGAAGGUGUCUUAUUGUGUAAGUCCUUUGUACAUCUUAACUUCAUAUAGUGGAUGAUUUUCCCUGGGCGAGGCCCCCCAGACGUAGGUUGUUUAACCGAACUGGGUUAUCAUUCGUUGUGUUCUAUCUUUCGUACUCACACUCAUUGUUACAACACAUCUCACCACUUUUUGUUUGGAUUAGUUAUUUUUUCAAUUGGUAUCAGAGCAGGUCACCUAAGUUACCGGUGUUAGAUCUUGGUGACACUAAUCCAUGUGGUAUUUUUGGAGAUGUUUUUGAUUUUGAAGUUUUUCGCCCCAAGUUUGAAGUUCUUCUAUGUCAACGGGGAGAAGUCGAGAUGAAAGGAAGGUUGUUGCUGCUACUGCUACAUCGAAUUCAGGGGGAGAAGAUUGUAAAGGAGGAGACUGUUCCUUGGUCAGUCGCCAAUACUGUACCUCCAUGAGUUUCUACUUGUGUCGCCUGAUGUUGUUUCCCCGAGUGUUUUUCGAAGUGUUGCAAUAGAUAUUGAUUCUCCUGCUGCUAUUGCUGGUUUGUUUAUCUAUUUGCUCUUGAUUUGAGAGGGGAGUUCAUCAUAUCUCAGUUUAUGAUUUUAAGAUUACUCUUGAUGCGAUUUAUUCUUGAGUUGAGCAGAUGUUGUUUUUGUCUACACCAAUGACAAAGGGGAAGAUUGUUAGAGUAUUUUCAUACUCUAUUUAAUUGUCAUUGAGUAGACAAUAAGUGUAUAAAGAUUUCAUGUCUGGAUUGAACUGUUUCUUUGGGAGUUGCUUCAAGAGUUCUACAGUUUGUUCCUUGUUGGGUUGCUUCUUCGGUCUCAUAUUUCUGGCAGCCUCUUUCCCUGCGGGAUUUUGAAGGAGUUUCUCUUGGAUCUAUUUAUGGAUAUAUAUCUACUAGAUCUUUUGUUGGCUUGGGAGUCCUCAUUCAUAGGGUUUCAUUGAACCCUAAUUUGUGCCACUGCAACUGGAUCGCUUUAUGGGCCGUCGCCUGGAGCCCGAUAAGAGCCCAAACUUCUUCUAGGGUUUGACUAUAUAUACUUGAUGAAGGGAAUUCGUUUUUGCUGGGGAUUUUCGUUCAGAUCAGUUCUCACGAUGUAGACGUGAAUUAUUAUUCCUGCUAGGUGUCCCCCCGGGCUUGGUACCGUCCGUAGUACUUUUCUUGAUAUUGUACUUUUAUUUUCUCCUAGCAGAAGAGUGUUUGUGAGUUAUACACUUGAGCGUACAUUGUAAAAGAGUUAUUUACUCUUCUUUAUUGUUGGUUCUUGUUUCUCAAGGGAUUAGGUGCGCCUAGAAAGUUAGUCGUUGUCUAGCUUUCAGUUAUUCACCGUUGAUGAGGUUUUGGGAAGAUGUAGAGGCU